rnacentral:rRNA from 1 species
GGCCAGACUCCUACGGGAGGCAGCAGUGGGGAAUAUUGGGCAAUGGGCGCAAGCCUGACCCAGCAAUGCCGCGUGAAGGAAGAAGGCUUUCGGGUUGUAAACUUCUUUGACAGGGGAAGAGCAGAAGACGGUACCCUGAAAACAAGCCACGGCUAACUACGUGCCAGCAGCCGCGGUAAUACGUAGGUGGCAAGCGUUAUCCGGAUUUACUGGGUGUAAAGGGCGUGUAGACGGGACUGCAAGUCAGAUGUGAAAACCACGGGCUCAACCUGUGGCCUGCAUUUGAAACUGUAGUUCUUGAGUACUGGAGAGGCAGACGGAAUUCCUAGUGUAGCGGUGAAGUGCGUAGAUAUUAGGAGGAACACCAGUGGCGAAGGCGGUCCGCUGGACAGCAACUGACGCUGAGGCGCGAAAGCGUGGGGAGCAAACAGGAUUAGAUACCCUAGUA